GUUUCAGCAGCACAGACAUUGGGGAGAACAGUGGAGACAGGUAACAUGGCUGAAAAAACUGAUGAUCACCAUGACCGGUCUCAGAUGGAUCAGAACAAAGAUACAACAGAACAAGGAAAGCCAGCUGUUGUAUUGUCAGGGAACAAGUACUUCGUUAUUCAAACUGGAGUAACAUUUAAUUCUGAUGUAAACUUUAUAGCUAAGCUCAAAAAGAAAAUCCCCUCAUUGCAGAAGGUGAAUAAUGUGGAGGAGUGUGAUUUCAUUCUGGUUUUCUGCCCUGUUGUUUCAUGAGCUGGAACUGACAUUGAAAGUGCAGAGAAAAAGCUUGAUGCUACUUCGGCCACAAAACCUGCUGUUCUGGUGGUGCUUCAUCACACGUUUGAUCCAGAGUGUGUUGUACCAGACAGCUGUAGAGCUGUAACAAGAGCGAAUAUGGUAACAGUCGACUGUCUGUUCCAUGAAGAUCAGGGAUUACUGAACUGCUAUAAAAAUACCAAAGCAA